GACGAACGCUGGCGGCGCGCCUAACACAUGCAAGUCGAACGAGCGGAGACCCUUCGGGGUUGAAGUUAGUGGCGGACGGGUGAGUAACACGUGAGGAACCUGCCUUACAGAGUGGGAUACCGUUUGGAAACGAACGUUAAUACCGCAUAACGUAUUGAAAUCGCAUGGUUUUGAUACCAAAGAUUUAUCGCUGUAAGAUGGCCUCGCGUCUGAUUAGAUAGUUGGUGAGGUAACGGCCCACCAAGUCGACGAUCAGUAGCCGGACUGAGAGGUUGAUCGGCCACAUUGGGACUGAGACACGGCCCAGACUCCUACGGGAGGCAGCAGUGGGGGAUAUUGCACAAUGGGCGAAAGCCUGAUGCAGCGACGCCGCGUGAGGGAAGAC
rnacentral:rRNA from 1 species